rnacentral:rRNA from 1 species
AAACCAACAGGGAUUGCCUCAGUAGCGGCGAGUGAAGCGGCAAAAGCUCAGAUUUGAAAUCGUGUUUCGGCACGAGUUGUAGAUUGCAGGUUGGAGUCUUUGUGGAAGCGUGUGUCUAAGUCCCUUGGAACAGGGUGCCAUUGAGGGUGAGAGCCCCGUGAGACGCGUGCGGAAGCUGUAAGGCCCUUCUGACGAGUCGAGUUGUUUGGGAAUGCAGCUCUAAGUGGGUGGUAAAUUCCAUCUAAGGCUAAAUAUUGGCGAGAGACCGAUAGCGAACAAGUACUGUGAAGGAAAGAUGAAAAGAACUUUGAAAAGAGAGUGAAAAAGUACGUGAAAUUGUUGAAAUGGAAGGGUA